GAAAUGAGUAGGAUGCCUCCAGGAC
rnacentral:piRNA from 1 species